CAUGAAAUUUCGGAUCACCACAUGACUCUUUCCCUUUCUCCCCUUUUCAACUUUUUCUAACUGCCUUCCCCUAAUUCCCUUUCCUCCCCUUCUUCUUUUUCUUCUCACGAGGGUUAAUUCUCCUCGUGGGCUUCUUCUUCGUCUUCUUCUUCUUUCUUUCUUUUUCUUUUUUCUUUUACACCUUUCUCAAAUUUCUCUUUCUGUUUCUCUCAUUCUCCUCUUUUAUCUUUCAUUUGGGUUUUUGGGGGACUUCUUCUUCUUCUUUACCUUUUUUCCUCAAUUGGGUCACUUGUGGGUGUGUUUUUAUCUGUGCCAUUGUGGUACGAUUUUUGGGUUUUGAUGGCUUGUUGAUGUCUGUGGCCGUUGAAAUCGGUUCGAGUUCAAAAGGGAUAAUAAUGGGGUUUGAUGAGAAAGACAAAGAUGGGAAACAAGAGGAUUCUUCUCCCAAAUUGUUAGAGCGCAAGAAAGGUGAGGAUGAAGAACAGGAAGUUGAUGUUGUGCCUUCUUCUGGUAUGACUAGGAAAAUGAGUGAAAGCUCAAUCUGUGCAACUGAAGAAGAAGACGAUGAAGAUGGAAGGAAAAUCGAAUUGGGUCCUCAAUACACUUUGAAAGAACUUAACGAAAAGGAUAAGGAUGAUGAAAGUCUUAGGAGGUGGAAAGAACAGCUUCUGGGUGAUGUUGAUUUUGAAUCUGUUGGAGAAACUCUUGAGCCAGAUGUAAAGAUUUUAAGCCUAGCAAUAAAAUCAUCAGGGCGACCUGACAUUGUUCUUCCAGUUCCUGAAAGUGGAAAUCCUAAAGGCCUUUGGUUUACUUUGAAGGAAGGUAGUCGUUACAGCCUUAAGUUUACUUUUCAGGUUAGCAACAACAUUGUUUCUGGUCUCAAAUAUACCAAUACAGUCUGGAAAACUGGAGUCAAAGUUGAUAGUACAAAAGAGAUGAUUGGAACUUUCAGCCCUCAACCUGAACCUUAUGAUCAUGAGAUGCAGGAAGAAACAACUCCUUCUGGCAUCUUUGCCAGAGGAUCAUAUUCAGCCAGAAGCAAGGUCAGUUUUAGGAUUUUCCAAUAAGGAUGGGCUAACAUUAAUCUCACCUGUUCCCGGACAUGAAAAUGAGUUAAUCCAUUUUGACCAACUACCCAUUUAGGAGUUUACCCAAAUACAAUGCUUCAGUUUGUUGAUGAUGAUAACAAAUGCUACUUGGAAAUCAAUUACACAUUUGAUAUAAGGAAAGAUUGGAAGGAGGAGCAGCCUGCUUAAUCAUACCCCUUGAAUAUUUCGGAUCGUUCGGUGCUUGAUUCAGCCCGAAUCCGCUGCUCUACUCGGGUUUCUUAAGAUGUUUAAUUUUGCUGCUUUCUUAUUUAUAAUUCUUGAUCUUCUCAAAGUUGAUGUUUUUUCUUCUUCUUUUUUGACAACGAGGAUGAUGAAGGAUGUUUUUUGAACUAACAAUAGAAAAAAAAGAAAAACAGAGAUGAGUUAGAUCUGUACUGUCAAUAAAAAAGCUCAGCUUUGGUUUUUUGCUAAAUGUGAAAAGGCAAUCUUCUUUCCCCUCU